rnacentral:rRNA from 1 species
GAUGAACGCUGGCGGCGUGCCUAAUACAUGCAAGUCGAGCGAACAGGCGAGGAGCUUGCUCCUCUUACGUUAGCGGCGGACGGGUGAGUAACACGUAGGUAACCUACCUUUUAGCCUGGGAUAACUAUUGGAAACCGUAGCUAAUACCGCAUAAUAAAUUGAAACGCAUGGUUCAAUAGUGAAGGACGCAUUUGCUCUCACUUAUAGAUGGAUCGGCUCCGCAUUAGCUGUUUGUGAAGGUAACGGCCUACCAAGCCAACGAUCCGUAGCCGACCUGAGAGGGGAAUCGGCCACCUUGGAACUGAACACGGGUCCAGACUCUUACGGGAGGCGGCGGUAGGAAAUCUUCGCAAUGGGGCGAAAGCUUGCCGAGCCAACGCCGCGUGGUUGAUGAGGUUUUUCGGAUCUAAAAACUUUUUUAUUAGGGAGAAAGAAAGGUGUAAGUAACUAUUCACGUUUUGACGGUACCUAAUCAGAAAGCCACGGCUAACUACGUG